AGCUAAUAGAUACCCGGGUAGUCCCAGCUGUAAACGAUGCAGACUCGGUGAUGAGUUGGCUUUUUGCUAAACUCAGUGCCGCAGGGAAGCCGUUAAGUUUGCCGCCUGGGGAGUACGGUCGCAAGACUGAAACUUAAAGGAAUUGGCGGGGAGCACCACAAGGGGUGAAGCCUGCGGUUCAAUUGGAGUCAACGCCGGAAAUCUUACCGGGGCGGACAGCAGAGUGAAGGUCAAGCUGAAGACUUUACCAGACAAGCUGAGAGGAGGUGCAUGGCCGUCGCCAGCUCGUGCCGUGAGGUGUCCUGUUAAGUCAGGUAACGAGCGAGAUCCCUGCCUCUAGUUGCUACCAUUAUUCUCAGGAGUAGUGGAGCUAAUUAGAGGGACCGCCGUCGCUGAGACGGAGGAAGGUGGGGCUACGGCAGGUCAGUAUGCCCCGAAACCCUCGGGCCACACGCGAGCUGCAAUGGUAAGGACAAUGAGUUUCGAUUCCGAAAGGAGGAGGCAAUCUCUAAACCUUACCACAGUUAUGAUUGAGGG
rnacentral:rRNA from 1 species